CGGAGCAGGAAAAUUAAAGUGAAAGCACAGAAAGGUGGUAGAAAGAGAACUACCAAGAUUAGUUGGUGCUUAACUAGAAAUUGAAUGAAGGAGGCAGGAAGAGGGGAGCACCUAGCCACAAUCUAAAGGAUGCAUAUACUGAGAAAACCAAGAGCAGUGUCACUUACUGAUAUGGUCGAUGGCUCCUGCACAGAAUUUGCCAUAGAAUUUUUUGGCGCCAAGGCCCCGCAAGUCAUGUAUGGUAAAUGGCCACAGAUGCAGAACAUUGUUGCGGGAGAAGGCAUCACGCUUUUCUAUCACCACCACCUUUGCUCCCAGAAAGCAUAGGUCAAUGGCUGUUCGCAGGCCACAGGGUCCAGCCCCAAUGAUGAGACACUGCAAGAGAGGCAACAACUUUACAGAUCUUGGUAUAAAGAGGAUUUUAAAAUUUAAACUUUAAGAGAGGACAUUAGCAUGGCCCUAACAUUCCUUGAAAUGCACCAAAAGCCAGGAUGACACUGAAAGACACCCAUGUCAUUGAGAUGUGUUUUCUACAGUUCUGCCUGCAGGGAUACCAUCGUAAUUUUGGUGGAAAGACACCAGAGUAACACGAAGCCAGUCUUUAUUAGGAUUCACCUCAGAUUUGUGUCAGGUAACUUCAAGAAUUUAGAACAGUCAUAUUAUUUCCUAUAUGAGAUGGGUUUGCUAAAUUAAAUCAGGUAGGCUUUAUGACUGUAUGUCUCACCUACAUUAGAAAAUAACCCAACACACAUUUUGGCUUGCAUUUUUCCAAAGCAGUUUUUGUUUACUGCUCCGCAAAAGCAGUGCUUAGAUUCC